rnacentral:rRNA from 1 species
UAGGGAAUCUUCGGCAAUGGGGGGAACCCUGACCGAGCAACGCCGCGUGAGUGAAGAAGGUUUUCGGAUCGUAAAGCUCUGUUGUUAAGGAAGAACGAGUGUGAGAAUGGAAAGUUCAUACUGUGACGGUACUUAACCAGAAAGGGACGGCUAACUACGUGCCAGCAGCCGCGGUAAUACGUAGGUCCCGAGCGUUGUCCGGAUUUAUUGGGCGUAAAGCGAGCGCAGGCGGUUAGAUAAGUCUGAAGUUAAAGGCAGUGGCUCAACCAUUGUAGGCUUUGGAAACUGUUUAACUUGAGUGCAGAAGGGGAGGGUGGAAUUCCAGGUGUGGCGGUGAAAUGCGUAGAUAUAUGGAGGAACACCGGUGGCGAAAGCGGCUCUCUGGUCUGUCACUGACGCUGAGGCUCGAAAGCGUGGGGAGCGAACAGG